AUUGAACGCUGGCGGCAGGCCUAACACAUGCAAGUCGAGCGAGCGGCGGACGGGUGAGUAAUGUAUGGGGACUGCCCGAUAGAGGGGGAUCACUACUGGAAACGGUAGCUAAUACCGCAUACUAUCGGAUUACCCAUAUGGAAUUAGCUAGUAGGUGAGGUAAUGGCUCACCUAGGCGACGAUCCCUAGCUGGUCUGAGAGGAUGAUCAGCCACACUGGGACUGAGACACGGCCCAGACUCCUACGGAGGCAGCAGUGGGGAAUAUUGCACAAUGGGGGCAAGCCUGAGACAGCCAUGCCGCGUGUGUGAAGAAGGCCCUAGGGUUGUAAAGUACUUUCAGUCGGGAGGCGUUACCGACAGAAGAAGCACCGGCUAACUCCGUGCCAGCAGCCGCGGUAAUUC
rnacentral:rRNA from 1 species